rnacentral:misc_RNA from 1 species
GAUGAAGGUAGCGAAAUGCGAUAAGUAAUGCGAAUUGCAGAAUCCGUGAGUCAUCGAAUCUUUGAACGCACAUUGCGCCCUCUGGUAUUCCGGAGGGCAUGCCUGUUCGAGCGUCAUUAUCACCCCUCAAGCCCGGCUUGUUGUUGGAUGCAGCGCUUAUCCCGCUCCUCCCAAAGAUAAUGACGGCGUCUGCGACGACUCCUGUACACUGAGCUUUCGGGCACGUACACGGCUAGAAGUCCAGACCCGGUCGCCGUCCCCCCCGCGGGGACACCCAUUACCACAAGGUUGACCUCGGAUCAGGUAGGAAUACCCGCUGAACUUAAGCAUAUCAAUAAGCGGAGGA